rnacentral:rRNA from 1 species
UACGUAGGGUGCGAGCGUUGUCCGGAAUUAUUGGGCGUAAAGAGCUCGUAGGCGGUUCAGUAAGUCGGGUGUGAAAACUUUGGGCUUAACCCAAAGCGUGCAUCUGAUACUGCUGUGACUUGAGUUCGGUAGGGGAGUGGGGAAUUCCUAGUGUAGCGGUGAAAUUCGUAGAUAUUCGCAAGAACACCAGUGGCGAAGGCGGCUCACUGGCCCGGUACUGACGCUGAGGUGCGAAAGCGUGGGGAGCAAACAGG